rnacentral:rRNA from 1 species
UACAGAGGCCUCAAGCGUUGUUCGGAUUCAUUGGGCGUAAAGGGUGCGUAGGCGGUGCGGCAAGUCGGGUGUGAAAUCUCGGAGCUUAACUCCGAAACUGCAUUCGAUACUGCCGUGCUUGAGGACUGGAGAGGAGACUGGAAUUUACGGUGUAGCGGUGAAAUGCGUAGAUAUCGUAAGGAAGACCAGUGGCGAAGGCGGGUCUCUGGACAGUUCCUGACGCUGAGGCACGAAGGUCAGGGGAGCAAACGGG